GACGAACGCUGGCGGCGUGCCUAAUACAUGCAAGUAGAACGCAGUUGCGAACGGGUGAGUAACGCGUAGGUAACUGCCUCAUAGCGGGGGAUAACUAUUGGAAACGAUAGCUAAUACCGCAUACUGUGAGAUGGACCUGCGUUGUAUUAGGUAGUUGGUGAGGUAAAGGCUCACCAAGGCGACGAUACGUAGCCGACCUGAGAGGGUGAGAGGCCACACGGGGAGUGAGAAGCGGCCCAGAGGCGAACGGGAGGCAGCAGGAGGGAGGCUGUGGGGAGGGAGGGAAGGGUGACCGAGAUAGGCGGCUGGAGAGAAGAAGGGGUGCGGAUGGUAAAGCUCGGGUGUGAGAGAAGGGGUAACUAACCAGAAAGGGACGGCUAAGUACGUGCCGGCAGCCGCGGUAGUUC
rnacentral:rRNA from 1 species